GAAUAAUUCAUUCCCACAGCUCCCUUCGGCAGAGUAAUGUCUGCAGCAGGGAAAGUCUCUUCUCUGCAUGUAUUUAAGGCAGGAUUCUUUAAGGGAAGAAUCGUGACAACGCAUAUCACCAAUGAAAAUGCAGAUUCACUCCAGUUCAAAACCUUCAUCUAUUGUCUGGGACAUGAUGGACACAAAAGAUAAGGACACUGUGUUGACAGCUCUAAACGCUUCACACGUUCAAAAUACACUCUACGUUAGAGUAGUCUGAUGCAGAAACAGGAAAUACACAGAAAGUAUGGUUUCUUCACUCCUGACAAGCAUUUUGGGUUCUUUAUCUUUUUGGAAGGUCAAAAUCAAGUUUAAAACGGGAAAGAUCUUCUAGCUUUAAUUAUGAAGUCUCUGCUGUAACUAUUAUAAAGUUUUCUGUCUCACAGAAGCCUACCCUCUGGACAAGAAAGCCACCUGAGGGCAUGGUAGGAAUCCAUUUUCCCAUUUGUGAUCAUUACUGCAGAACAAAUAAGGCACAUAGACUUUCUGGUUUCAUCAGGGAUGAAAAAGAACUCCUAAAUCUGGUUUGAUGUGAACCUCAACUUCCUAAGUACCCUGCUGAAAAGUAAAUCAUUCACAGUUUUUACUCCUAACUUUGUUCAACUCUGUUUCAAGUUUAGUGCUUUCAUUUCUACAGGCAAGUAUUUACACAGACCAAAAGUGUGUGCUAGUGAAUGUUUGCUCAUGUCUUUCUACCAAAGUAUCUCUUUGCAGAUGUAAUAGUAUAUUUUGUAGACAUAGUCUGAAUGUUUGCUUUUGAAAACAGUCCUAGAAGACAGUGGCAGAUGUAAUUGCAGAAUCUAGGUCAGGAUGAUAAAUGUACAGCAAGUGAAAUACAGUAUAUAUACAGUUAAUAAAAAGACAUACAAUUAGGUGUCAUUUUCAAAUGAAAUGUAAUGGCUUACAUUUGCAGAAAGGUGUCAGGCACAAACUCUGCCAAUAUGUUUGCAUGUACAUGUGUACUUGUGUAACUUCAGGGCUGCAAGCACACUGGGAAGUUAGGUGCUAAAGCACUGGAAAUGGAUGCACAGUUCCCACACUGGAGGUAAGAGUGGCACUUCUGCCUAUUAUAAGGCAAAGUGUGAACCUGCAUGAAAAUGCCCCCUAGUAUGCUCAUAAACAAUUUCUUUGUAAGCAGCUAAAAGCCAUUCAAGUGGAUCAGUAUUGCUUAUUGGUCUCCAUCUGUAAUAUAAAAGUAACUCAUGACAGUGGAGCUAGAAGUGAAAAUAAGACAGCAGUCACUAUGAAGGUAUACUGGAACUAUAGAGAUGAACUAUGUGAGGUGGAAAGAAUGGUAAUGAGGGGUAAAAAAAGCUGCAAUUCCAAAGUAGGUGUGACAGCAGAUGUUUAAAAAAAAUAAUCUGAGACAUGGAGACUGAAAAGUGUAAUUAUAAGAAUGAGAAGUGAUGUUUUGGCCAGAAAUACAGAAUAUACAUACAAAAGAAAUUGUCUAAAUUUGAUGUGUCACCAGCACUGAAUUUCUUAAAAUGGAAGCACGUCAGUAAUUAAAUGCCAAUGAUAAAUUCUGGGAACAAGAUCUUAUCCAUGUAGAAUACAAAUAACAUUUUGGCCUAAAUCCUGAACAACGAAAGUUGGUUUGCUGAUGUAAGAUACAUGCUCUUUUCUACUAGUGAGAAUAUCUUGCAUCUUUACAAACUUGAUGUAGGUCCUCAGCAGAUGGAGGAGACGGCUGACACGUCCUUUCUCUCAUGUGUAGCUUUAGAAGGCAGAUAAGGCUUACGAGCACCAAGACUGCCCAUCUUUGUAAUCUGUGGGGAGAAGGCAGUGCCCAGGCUCCAAGUUUAGGCCAGUGUCCUGUCCCUGACAGGAGCUAAUCAGAGUUUCAGUAGAUGGAGAGUGCUAAGGAGUUGGCAGUAGGUACAGGGAUAAUCCGUCCCCCUUGCUAGUGCUUACAAGGACAGAAGAAUGGGGGAUGCUUUCAGGCUGACUUUAAAUGACAUGGGUGACAGAAGCCUGGUGACCGGUGUGGAAAGAUGGGUCCAUGUGGAAGGAGAGACAUGCAUAGCUCUGCUGCUGGUAGGAGCCCCUUUCCAGUGCAUCUCCAUGCAGCGGGCCAUCAGAGUGGGGGUGCCUGUCUGGUCUCAGCUCUGCCCCAUAGUAGUUUUGGCAGUGAUGGCUACGAGCUAAUAGGUUGGAUCUGUCUUCCAAGGUCUCUUAUUUGAAAUGGCAGAUAUAAAUCUAAAUUGAUACCCCAGCUGCCUUCUAAUCUCUCUGAGUUUAAAGCUCAGAUUUACCGAGACAGUAAUUUGCAAAGGUUCAUAUUUAUGAGAAAAGAAUCCUGUUAUAAAUGUUGAAUAUUCCCAUUUCUAAUACUUCAUUUACUUGCUGCUAACUUUUCUGGUAAGAGACAGAAGACACAGGUCCUGUUCUGUUUUUCUGUAACAUGUAUUUUAUUUUUAGGCCCUUUUAUUUAAUACACUAUUCUUAUAACGUUGUGGAGUGCAGAUAUUUAGAAGACCACUCAAAAAAGCUAAGAAGUAAGGAGGGCAGGUAGUAUGCUUUUUUCACAAGUGUUUUCUAUGCCUGGCCAAUAGAAUUACCCCUUUCUCAGCCUCCUUUAGCACUGAAGUGCCCUUCUUGAAAGAGAAUGUGCAGUACAGCACUUCAGAGAAGGUGGCUACUGCUUUGCCUUCAAAGUUAUUAAGCUAUUCCUGUUAUUCUUCAUCCUAUGACUUACGUAUGCAUCUAGUUAUUAAGCUAUUCCUGUUAUUCUUCAUCCUAUGACUUACGUAUGCAUCUUUUGCUGUGACUGAGUACUGAAGCUGUUCACUGAGCUACCUGCAGUGAUGGGUAAUAUUCCCACCGCAGGUGACUUUGUAAAAGAAAGUCUAAAAUUGUCCAUUUAUUGCUACAUUAAAGCAGUAGUUUCCUAAGGUUCCCAACUUUAUAUCAUUUGUUGAAGCCAAGCUUAUCUACGAAGUCCAAGCAAAGAACUCAUAAUUAGUGAUGACCAGCCCACCCUAAUAACAUCCUUUAUCCUGUUAAGGCAUGUGCAAAGAUUAACCCAGUUUAUUUUUCAGGAGACUUAAGAAUGUUCAGGUUUUUCUAAAUGUACAUGUAACAGAGCAGUGCAGUCAAGGGGCCAGAUUCAUUUCUGCUGUACCUGUGAAGAAUAAGGCUCAGGUACCCAACAAGUUAUGUCAAACGCUUGGAGGCUGUGUGCCAGAUCUUUUGGAACUUCUUAGCUGAUGUAUUUUGCCAAACUGACAAUUAGAUCAGGUGCUUAGCAAUUCUGAAAAUUAAGCUAAUUACUAUGAUACUGACAGAUAUAAUACUCUUUCUUAAUUCUAGUACAAGCUUUUAUUUUUCAAUACUAGGCAGAAGAAGGGUGCAAGUAUUCCAGGCCUAAAGAAAAUAGUGGCACAGUGCCAGUGCAAGCGAAGAAAGGUGAUUUCCCUGGAUGUAAAGACUUUUUCUAGACUAAACAAGACAGUGUCUUUUGUAAGGUUAUGGAGAAAAUGGAUACUGAAUAUGUGCUUCAUGAACGAUCUGAGAAGAAAGUAUUAGGCUAAUCAGUAGUUUUGAUUUAGGACAGCUAUUUUUCGUGGUGGCACUGAUUCUCUUGUAGCAUUAAAGUACAGGUAUUAAAUAAAUAUAGACAUCAUAUUAAAAGUAGAUAACUGGAAUUAUGCUAAUUCGGGGAGGAGGGAAGUACAUGAAAAGAGGCCUUAAAUAUUGAAAUCAGACAUACUGGAAAGUACUUUCUCAGUAACAAUAUGACAGUGGACACAAAUAAGACGUGCUAGAUGAGAAGAACUUUGAAGGAGAAGCCCAAGAAAUUCGUAUCUGAAAUUUGAAGAACUGUGCACAAUGUUAAUCAGUUUGUCCAGCUGCUGUAGCACUCUUGUAUUUCUGUGUAAAGAGAUUGCCUAAAUAUGUUUAUUGCAUGAACAUGUUCUUGUAUAUAUUCUUGAUUUAUAUAUGAAUGAAUGAAACAGGCAAGAAGAUUCAAA